GCGGGGGUGGCCGAGCCAGGUCAAAGGCGGCGGACUUAAGAUCCGCUCCCAUAGGGGUUCGUGGGUUCGAAUCCCACCCCCCGCACCA
rnacentral:tRNA from 1 species